AUUGAACGCUGGCGGCAGGCCUAACACAUGCAAGUCGAGCGGGGUUUUCGGACCUAGCGGCGGACGGGUGAGUAAUGCGUAGGAAGCUGCCCGAUAGAGGGGGAUACCAGUUGGAAACGACUGUUAAUACCGCAUAAUGUCUACGGACCAAAGUGUGGGACCUUCGGGCCACAUGCUAUCGGAUGCGCCUACGUGGGAUUAGCUAGUUGGUGAGGUAAUGGCUCACCAAGGCGACGAUCUCUAGCUGGUUUGAGAGGAUGAUCAGCCACACUGGAACUGAGACACGGUCCAGACUCCUACGGGAGUCAGCAGUGGGGAAUAUUGGACAAGGGGCGCAAGCCUGAUCCAGCCAUGCCGCGUGUGUGAAGAAGGCCUUCGGGUUGUAAAGCACUUUCAGCGAGGAGGAAGGGUGGUGUGUUAAUAGCACAUCAUUUUGACGUUACUCGCAGAAGAAGCACCGGCUAACUCUGUGCCAGCCGCCGCCGUAACAC
rnacentral:rRNA from 1 species